GUUGUAUUCAGUUAUCUUCAAAGAUAUACAAGUAUAUACAUGUGGAAGGUAUUUACUCAUUUUGAGGCACUUUCUGCUUUUUUCUUUCCAUGUGUAUGUGUGAGUUUGGUGUACCUGAAUGUGUGUGUAUGCAUUUUGGUAUGUGUGUGUAUGCUGUUACCCUCACUUUUGCAAUUUCACACUGCAAGUUCUUUGCAUUGAGACAGUACUUACUACUGUCCUUUUGAUGCACUCUUUCUAUUCAUCUUGCUAAUGCAUAAAUGUGUGUUUGCUGAUGUAGUACGGAGAAGGACAAAUAGCUUAUUUGUAUUUGCUUUACAUUUUAGGUUUUCCAAGAUUUAAUUGAUUUGAAUAGAAUAUUUCUACCUCAGAAAUAAAAUAUAUUAAUUUAUAGAAGCCUGGUAAUAAUUAACUCAAUAAAACUGACUAAGAAUGUAUAUCUUCUCACCUAAUUAGAAAUACAAAUUCUAGGGGAAAGAGAGAUAGCUCAGUGUUUAAGAGCACUGACUUCUCUUCCAAAGGUCCUGAGAUCCAUUCCCAGCAAUCACAUGGUGGCUCAUAACCAUCUGUAAUGGGAUCUGAUGCCCUGGUCUUGUGAGUCUGAAGACAGUGACCAGUGUAACACACAUAAAAUGAAUAAUAAGUCUUAUAACAAGGAAGGAAGGAAAAAAGGAAGGAAGGAAGGAAGGAAGGAAGACUAGGUCUACCGUUUAGUAAAGAUCCACUUUAAAUUUAUUAUUUGAGAAAAUUAUGUUUGAAUGUUUAAGACUCAUGGUGACUUUUUUUUUGUAAAGAUGAAAAUACACAUAUUCAAAGAGGUCUUAGAAAUAUUUUCUUUUGUUAUUUUCUUGAAAUCAGAACAGUUUUCAUAGUGUUCCAGUAUAAUAAACUUCCAUAUCCAGUGUAUAGGAGGAAUUAUUAUCAGAUAUUUCUUUAAUGAAUUAAUUACAUGAGUAAUGUAAUCACUGGUUUUGCUUAAUUUGUUCUACACAAUAGAUAUUGCUGUCAGGAACAAAAUAGAAGAAAUUUGGCUAUUUGGAGAUCAGUAAAAUAUUUUUUUCUUUGUGAUACUAUUUUAUAACAACAAAGGCUUCACUAUUUUGUUUAUUAUUCUCUAUUGUAUUAACCUAGGUUGAGCAAUGGAUUAAAUAUGUUGAAGCUUAUGCUAUGGCAACAAAUUAGAAGGUAUUUUAGAUUAGAUAUUACUUUUCAAAUAUUAGUUAUAUUUGACAUCAUAAAGCCAUGAGCAAGGUACUUGGAAUUUUAGAACUAUUUUUUUUUUUUUUGGUCUUCAUUACAUUAUCCAUUAUAAGUAGAUUAGAUUCACUAGAUAACCUUUGAAACCCUCAUUUUUGUCUCUAAGAGCUAUGAUAAUACAUGCAAUAAAUAUAAAAAGAACUGAAAUUCUGAAAGAUUGAUUUCCAAAUUUGCAUUUCUUUAAAGAGCUGAGAACUUUUUGCUUUCUAUCUUGAUGAAUUCCAGACUUUUUCACAUACAAAGAGUAAUAUAACAUUUAUCUUUCUAUGUCUAUUUAUUUUACUUUCCCCUGUUGUAGCAUAUACAAUGACUUGUGGCAUGAAGAUGCUAUUGUGUUUAUAUGUUUAUGUAUUGGUGGAUAGUAGUAUUAUUUAUACCUCUGGGCCAUUCUUGAGGAAGAUUUGAAAACAUUUGCAUCUAAAUAUCCAUUGGGAUAUUCAUUUUUACUUAUUUUGCAUAUUUGGCUAGGAAAGAAAUGCAGUUCAUGGUAAUUAUGUUUAAUGUAUCAAGAAAUACAUAAGCUUUUCACAAAAACUGUGCCUGUUUAUAUUUUCCAUAGCAGUGUAAGAGUUUACAUGAUACACAUGUUUAAACAGAAUAGUGCAAUUCAAAUCAGACCUGGAAAUACCUCCAUUUCCUUGGCGACCCUCGUCCUGUUUCUUUGUAAAAGUGCAGCUAUUCCGCUUUCUAUGAAAUAGCUUUUGAUCUCAUCUCCAAACCCAAGAAAUAAUGAUACAAAGCAUCUUUUCAUUGCUUAUUGGCCAUUUGUACAGUAUACCAUCUUCCAGAAAAGGUUUUUCAGUACUUUUAAGCCCAGUUGAAUUUACAUCUUGCUACUUCUUAUAACUGUUACCACACACAUGGUUUGCAAAUAAGUCUGUCAUUCUGUGGCUCUCCUUUCCCUCAUUUGAUGCUGUUUUUGAUGCACAGAAUUCUUAACUUACUGUCUAAUUUUUCUAUUUCUGUUGCUUGCUUUUAUUAUAUUUAGGAAACUAGUGCCAAAUUUGGGGACAUGGAGAGUUGCUUCUGUUUUUCUGUUUUCCUCUAUGAGUUGUAUAGGUUUAGCUUUUAAAUUUAGCUCUGUUUUUCUUUUCAUGUCAAAUAUUUUGUAGAUGGUACAAGGUAAGAAUACAGUUUCACAGUUUUGCAUGUAGCCUUUGUUUUCCUGGCACUGUUUACUGAAGAGACUGUUGUUCUUUCUUCGUGGAAACAUCCAAGCAGAUGGAAACUAUUGUCCAUCAUCAUCAUCAUAAGUAAUAUAAUAUGCAUUGAUUUCAUCAGAGUUAGGAUAACUUGUCCAUACAUUCAAGCUAUGGAUGGACUAAUGCUCCACACAUAGAGAAUAAGCAGAGGAAAUUAUCUUUAGUAGCGGUUCCAUUGCCAGUCAUCCACUGCUAGUGGAUCUGUCACCAUUAUUGAUGCUGGAUAUUUAAUGGUCUUUAUGCAUCCCUUUUGUGCUAGAUGAAAAGGAGGUCUUCCAAUGAAAGAAUGGAUAAAGUAGUAAGUAUGACUAGAUUUUUUUUUUUUUACACACAUGGUUAAACAAUAAAAGCAAUUCAGAUUGGGCU
rnacentral:lncRNA from 1 species